rnacentral:lncRNA from 1 species
CAAAUAAAUGUUGUUUUGGGGUGAACAAAAUUCUACACCCAACAUACAUUGCAAGAACCUAUUUAUAUUCAUUGAUCAAGUUGUUUUUGACAUUUGUAACCUACCUACUUCGUAAUUAAUUCUUAUGCAAGCUCCGAAAACUUGAAGAUUCAUAUUGAAAGUGUUCAGAAGAAAAUUAAAAAAUUCAAAUGUACUUACUGUUCCAGUUCUUUUACAUUAUCUGGAAACUUGAAAAGACAUAUUGAAGGUGUUCAUGAGAAGAUAAAAAAAUAUCAAUGUGCUUACUGCUCUAGUUCUUUUACACGAUCCGGACACUUGAAGUCGCAUAUUGAAAGUGUUCAUGAUAAAAUAAAGAAAUAUAAGUGUAGUUACUGCUUUAGUUCUUUUGCACGCUCCGGACACUUAAAGGCGCAUAUUGAAGGUGUUCAUGAUAAAAUAAAGAAAUACCAAUGUAGUUACUGCUCUAGUUGUUUUACACGCUCUGGAGUCUUGAAGAGGCAUAUUGAAGUUGUACAUGUGAAGAAAAAAAUACCAAUGUAGUGACUCCUCUGGUUCAUUUACACAAUCCGGACACUUGAAGACACAUAUUGAAGCUGUUCAUGAGAAGAUAAAAAAAUUCCAAUGUAGUGACUGCUCUAGUUCUUUUACACGCUCCGGAGACUUGAAAGCGCAUAUUGAAACUGUUCAUGAGAAGAUUAAAAAAUUCCAUUGUGGUUCCUGCUUUAUUUCUUUUACAGAACUAGAAAGCUUGUUGAGCCAUUAUAAGACUCAUCAUAGUUAGACAUACACAAGACCAAAUUUUCUAAGAUAGAAAAAUAUAUUUAUAUCUAAUAUAUACAUAUGUAUUACUUAAAAUGUAUUGAUAUUUCCCUUUUCGCUUCAAUGUGUAUGGGGUUUGUUCAAAGUGGAUGUUCCCAUUGUACACAAUUUUCAAUUGUCUGAAAAUGUUAAUAACAGUAUUAACUUUGAAUAUAGUACGUUAAUAAAGACUUAUUCUUA